rnacentral:rRNA from 1 species
GACGAACGCUGGCGGCGUGCUUAACACAUGCAAGUCGAACGGAAAGGCCCUGCUUUUGUGGGGUGCUCGAGUGGCGAACGGGUGAGUAACACGUGAGUCACCUGCCCUUGACUUUGGUAUAACUUCAGGAAACUGGGGCUAAUACCGGAUAGGAGCUCCUGCUGCAUGGUGGGGGUUGGAAAGUUUCGGCGGUUGGGGAUGGACUCGCGGCUUAUCAGCUUGUUGGUGGGGUAGUGGCUUACCAAGGCUUUGACGGGUAGCCGGCCUGAGAGGGUGACCGGCAACAUUGGGACUGAGAUACGGCCCAGACUCCUACGGGAGGCAGCAGGAGGGAAUAUUGCACAAUGGGCGGAAGCCUGAUGCAGAAACGCCGCGUGAGGGAUGACGGCCUGCGGGUUGUGAACCGCUUUAGCCUGUGACGAAGCGUGAGUGACGGUAAUGGGUAAAGAAGCACCGGCUAACUACGUG